AACCAAGAUGGCUAAGUAAUAUUAAAACGGUAAAAAGACAGUUAGAUAAUAUAUUUUUAACAAGUUUACUUAAUUUCUAUAAAAGGGUAGAAUUUGCAUAUAGACAUAAAAUCUAAAAGUAACUUAUGUAUUGAACCUGUGAUAGCCUUGAGGGAAACUGGGAUUAGAUACCCCAUUAUUCUUGGCCGUAAAUAAAUUAAAUUUACCAGAGUACUAUGGAUUAAAAAGUUUAAAACUCAAAGAGCUUGGCGGUGUUUUAGACCUCUCAGGGGAACCUGUCUCAUAAUCGACAAUCCACGUUACACCUAACCUUAUUUCGCUUUUACAGUUUGUAUACCGUCGUCGUCAGGUAACUUUUAAAAAUUUAGAAGUUAGCAAAAAAGUUAUAUAAGCUUAUACGUCAGAUCAAGGUGCAGCUUAUAUUAAGGUGAGGAUGGGUUACAAUUAUAAAAUCAUAACUACAAAGUAAUUAUAAUAAUAUAUAAUUAUAAGGAGGACUUGAAAGUAAACUAAAUUAUAAAAACAUUUUGAAUAAGGCUCUGAAACGUGC
rnacentral:rRNA from 1 species